GGAGGCGCCCGUCGGUGGGUGCGCGCCCCCAGCCCCCGCGCUCGCCUCGCCACCGCGGCAGCCGCCGGCACAGCCCCGCUCAGCCCGGCCACCAUGGCGUGCGGGAGGUUCCUCAGAAGACGAUGAGGUCACUGAAGAAGGUCUCCUCAGGCUCAGGUCAGUCUUCUCUCCAGCGUCUUACGUGGCUGACUGUGUAUCCGUAAAACUGAGGUACUUCAGCACUUCUGUCCCGCUGACUCUCAUGAACAUAAUCAUUGGGUGGGAUGAGGAAGAAUCGCUAAUUUUGUGCACAGGCUUCAGAGUUCUUGUUGGAUGCAGUUUUGAGUGUUCUGCUUCUGUAAGAGAAAUAAACAAUUACAUAAGGAAA